rnacentral:rRNA from 1 species
UACGAAGGGAGCUAGCGUUGUUCGGAAUCACUGGGCGUAAAGCGCACGUAGGCGGAUGUGUCAGUCAGGGGUGAAAUCCCGGAGCUCAACUUCGGAACUGCCUUUGAUACAGCACAUCUGGAGUCCGGAAGAGGUGGGUGGAAUUCCUAGUGUAGAGGUGAAAUUCGUAGAUAUUAGGAAGAACACCGGUGGCGAAGGCGGCCCACUGGUCCGGUACUGACGCUGAUGCGCGAAAGCGUGGGUAGCAAACAGG